GAACCAGCAGCCAGGGGGCCAUGACCUGGAGGGAACCGGCAAGCUCCUGCCCGGCCGUGGGCCGCCAGUUGCUCCGCAGACUGCGGCUCUAAUCGGCACCAUUCAAAGGCUAGCAUUUGGGCUGGCGUGGCUGGUGGGACAUCAUCGGGAUGCGGUGUUUCCUGCUGACAGUAGGAAAACAACGCGAGGGAGACGAGGCGAGCAGUCUGUUCCCACAGGAAGCGGGCAUGGGCAUAUAUAGAAGAAAUGCUUUCUGGGUCGGCUUCCCACUCCCGUGAGGGAGAACCCCUUAUUCCUUCAUCUCUCAUCGUCCGAUUGCGACUAGUUAAGGCAGAGAGGCGUGAGGAAGCCCCCGCAGUUUUGGCAUCCUAAACUCCGUUGCAGGGCAAAGACGUCGGAUUGAUUUCUGUUAGGCUGCCUUUCGCCCCAAACCCUCAAUCCACCGAGGCGGUCUUUUGUUCUCCCUCACUGAAGAGCAUCCUAAGUACGCAGCAGCACUUGUGUUGGGGAUGGAGGGUGCAGGCUAACCACGGCACCUUCUGCCUGUCCCGAAGAGCCCGCUCCUAGGCAUGGUGUACUCAGAACGAGGGGACUUAGUUUCAGAUAAGUGACUUGAACAUACUGAAUUCUCCAAAGAGAGUCCUAGUCCCUCGAAAGGAGGAUGAGUGA